rnacentral:rRNA from 1 species
UACGUAGGGUCCGAGCGUUGUCCGGAAUUAUUGGGCGUAAAGGGCUCGUAGGCGGUUUGUCACGUCGGGAGUGAAAACUCAGGGCUCAACCCUGAGCGUGCUUCCGAUACGGGCAGACUAGAGGUAUGCAGGGGAGAACGGAAUUCCUGGUGUAGCGGUGGAAUGCGCAGAUAUCAGGAGGAACACCGGUGGCGAAGGCGGUUCUCUGGGCAGUAACUGACGCUGAGGAGCGAAAGCGUGGGGAGCGAACAGG